rnacentral:rRNA from 1 species
AUUGAACGCUGGCGGCAUGCCUAACACAUGCAAGUCGAGCGAGCGGCGGACGGGUGAGUAAUGUAUGGGGACUGCCCGAUAGAGGGGGAUAACUACUGGAAACGGUGGCUAAUACCGCAUACUGUCGGCUACCCCAUUUGGUAUUAGCUAGUAGGUAAGGUACUGGCUUACCUAGGCGACGAUCCCUGGCGGGUCUGAGAGGAUGAUCAGCCACACUGGGACUGAGAAACGGCCCAGACUCCUACGGGGGCAGCAGUGGGGAAUAUUGCACAAUGGGGGCAAGCCUGAAGCAGACAUGCCGGGUGGAUGAAGAAGGGCCUAGGGGUGUAAAGUACUUUCAUUCGGGAGGCGUUACCGACAGAAGAAGCACCGGCUAACUCCGUGCCAGCAGCCGCGGUAAAC